rnacentral:pre_miRNA from 1 species
AGAAUAAGUCAGCGAGAGAUGAGUAUUGGAAAGGCGAGUUGGCUUUGCAAGACGUAAAGCGAACCAAAAAAUGAUUCAGUUCUUCUGGACAAAGUGAUAAUAUGGAUAAUAACAAGAAUGUUCAAUGGGAACAGUGUUGCUGUUAUCCAUUUUAUCAUUCUUGUAAGUCCAUGAGAUCACUGUCAUGAGCCAAAGUGAAUCCUUUUUUUGGUUAGCUUUGCGUCUAACAAAUCCCACUCGUCAUUCCAAUACUUACCUCUCCCUGAAUUAUUCU